rnacentral:rRNA from 1 species
AUACGAAGGGGGCUAGCGUUGUUCGGAAUUACUGGGCGUAAAGCGCACGUAGGCGGAUUGAUAAGUUAGGGGUGAAAUCCCGAGGCUCAACCUCGGAACUGCCUUUAAUACUGUUAGUCUCGAGUCCGGAAGAGGUGAGUGGAAUUCCUAGUGUAGAGGUGGAAUUCGUAGAUAUUUGGAAGAACACCAGUGGCGAAGGCGGCUCACUGGUCCGGUACUGACGCUCAGGUGCGAAAGCGUGGGGAGCAAACAGGAUUAGAUACCCUAGUAGUCC